rnacentral:rRNA from 1 species
CCUACGGGAGGCAGCAGUGGGGAAUAUUGUGCAAUGGGCGAAAGCCUGAAGCAGCGACGCCGCGUGCGGGAUGAAGGUCUUCGGAUCGUAAACCUCUGUCAGCAGGGAAGAAAGGUCACUGUGCUAAUCAGCAGUGAAUUGACGGUACCUGCAAAGGAAGCACAGGCUAACUCCGUCACACCAGCCGAGGUAAUACGGAGGGUCCGAGCGUUAAUCGGAAUUACUGGGCGUAAAGCGCUCGUAGGCGGUAUGUCAAGUCUAGGGGGAAAUCCCCGGGCUCAACGUGGGAACUGCCUUGGAAACUGGCAAACUGGAGUGUGUGAGAGGAUAGUGGAAGUCCAGGUGUAGGAGUGAAAUCCGUAGAUAUCUGGAGGAACAUCAGUGGCGAAGGCGACUAUCUGGCACAUAACUGACGCUGAGGAGCGAAAGCGUGGGUAGCAAACAGGAUUAGAUACCCCAGUAGUC